rnacentral:rRNA from 1 species
UACGUAGGGUGCGAGCGUUAAUCGGAAUUACUGGGCGUAAAGCGUGCGUAGGCGGUUUUGCAAGUCAGCUGUGAAAGCCCCGGGCUUAACCUGGGAAUGGCGUUUGGGACUGCAUGGCUAGAGUACGUCAGAGGGGGGUGGAAUUCCACGUGUAGCAGUGAAAUGCGUAGAGAUGUGGAGGAACACCGAUGGCGAAGGCAGCCCCCUGGGAUGAUACUGACGCUCAGGCACGAAAGCGUGGGGAGCAAACAGG